CCUUUCUAUGGAGUUUUUUUCGUGCCGCUGGUCUGGCGGCGUUUGUUGGAUGCCCUUUGGUCAUGGUGCCGUUGGUGCCGUGGGGGUGUCCGUGCUGGCUGGAAAAGGAUCGGGAAACGGGUCAUGCGGUCGGUGGCUUCUUUGGUGGGGUUGCCUGGUCGUGUGGGUGGUGUGGUGCAUGCUGUUGGGUCCCCGGAUUGCCACCCGGUGCGGUUGUCGGCUUGGUGUUGCCUGGUCGGCUGGCUGUGUGGUGGUUGUCCUGCCCCUGGUCGGUUGGUUCGUGCUUGUGUGGUGCGGGUUGGUCGGCUUGGUGGUGUGGUGGUUUGAGAACUGGAGAGUGGACGCGAGCAUGAGAGCAUGUUCCGCUGGUUCCGGUGCCUGUUGGGUGUCGGGUGCGUGGUGGUGCGUGUUGUCGUGUGUUGCAUUUUUUGCAAUCGAGUUUUGAUUUUCCUUGCCAUGGCCUUUGUUGGGGUCGUGGUGGGGUUUGUUUGCUUGUUUUGUGAUCUGAUGAUUUUGUGUUAGUUGAUCUGCUUGUUUUUUGGUUGUUCGUCAGCGUUGGGCAGUGGCCCGCAUCCUGUUGGGGUGCGUG
rnacentral:misc_RNA from 1 species